rnacentral:rRNA from 1 species
AUCUGCAGCCAUACCACCCUCCACAAACCAGAUCUCAUCUGAUCUCAGAAGCUAAGCAGGGUCUAACCUUGUUAGUAGUAAGAUGGGAGGACACUUCUCUUCUUGCCAAUCCUUUCAACACCUAAGGUGAGUAAAAC